UGGGGAAUCUUCCGCAAUGGACGAAAGUCUGACGGAGCAACGCCGCGUGAGUGAUGACGGCCUUCGGGUUGUAAAGCUCUGUUAAUCGGGACGAAUGGUUCUUGUGCAAAUAGUGCGAGGAUUUGACGGUACCGGAAUAGAAAGCCACGGCUAACUACGUGCCAGCAGCCGCGGUAAUACGUAGGUGGCAAGCGUUGUCCGGAAUUAUUGGGCGUUAAACGCGCGCAGGCGGAUUGGUCAGUCUGUCUUAAAAGUUCGGGGCUUAACCCAGUGAUGGGAUGGAAACUGCCAAUCUAGAGUAUCGGAGAGGAAAGUGGAAUUCCUAGUGUAGCGGUGAAAUGCGUAGAUAUUAGGAAGAACACCAGUGGCGAAGGCGACUUUCUGGACGAAAACUGACGCUGAGGCGCGAAAGCCAGGGGAGCGAACGGG
rnacentral:rRNA from 1 species